GCCGGUUGCACUGGCUGAGCCGCCGCCUGGCAGAGCCGCGCUCACCGGGGGCAUGGUGGGGGUGGGGGCACAAUGCAUUUUCAGCGAGGCCUGGCAAUGCAUACGCACUGCACGGCGUGUAGCCCUCCCGAGGCCCCGCAGCAAUCUCCUUCCCUGCAAACGCCCUCCAUGGGGGUGAAAUACCGGCUGGGGCGCGGAGCUCGCGGCCGAGCCAUUCGCCAGCGCCAGCGUGGCGGCGGACAGUGCAUUGCAGUUGGCUUCGAGUAUAAACAGUGGCAAACCCGGACACUAGAAAAUACAACAGAAAGGCAGCCCAUAUAAAUUCAACAAUCAAUAUCCUAGAAGAAUGAAAAAUGGCGCGGGAAAUGUGUCCUUCGGUGGGUCAUCAACACCUGAAAGCAGACUUUCGCUGAUUAGAAGGAAGAGAAAGAGAAUAUGGGAGGACAUGUUCACCGAGAGAAUGAACGGCUCCAGGACAGCUGACACAGAGCGGAGAGUGUGGAGGAUUUCACUGUCCAAGAAGUUAGACAUGGACAUGGAGAGCAGGAAAGCUUCCAAUGAGCAAGAGCAUGCAGUGCAGGAUGAGAUGCUUCAGAUUAUGAGGGACCAAACAGACAUGUUGAGGCGUCUGGUUGAACUGCAGGAACAGAAGCAGGAGGGUAGAAUCCCUAUGCAAACCCUGGGGGACAGACAUCUAGCAUCGCUGGCGCAGAAUCACCCUCCCCCAAGCAUUCCCUGAGGCAUGGGUAAGAAGUCCAUUAUCCCUUUCACUUAACUUGGGGGGAGGGUAUAAGGAACAGAAGGAGCCUAUUCAUGGACCUUUGAUGGUCUGGAGUGCGGUAUUAUGUUACAGAGCUGAAAAUGUUUCUCCUGUUCCAACUUUACAGCCCCUUUUCCCUAAGGUUACC